GACGAACGCUGGCGGCGUGCUUAACACAUGCAAGUCGAACGGAAAGGCCCUGCUUUUGUGGGGUGCUCGAGUGGCGAACGGGUGAGUAACACGUGAGUAUCCUGCCCUUGACUUUGGGAUAACUUCAGGAAACUGGGGCUAAUACCGGAUAGGAGCUCCUGCUGCAUGGUGGGGGUUGGAAAGUGUCGGCGGUUGGGGAUGGACUCGCGGCUUAUCAGUUUGUUGGUGGGGUAGUGGCUUACCAAGGCAUUGACGGGUAGCCGGCAUGAGAGGGUGGCCGGCCACAAGGGGACUGAGGUACGGCCCAGACGCCUACGGGAGACAGCAGUGGGAAGUAUUGCACAGUGAGCGGGAGCCUGAUGCGACAGCGCCGCGGGCGUGAUGACGUCCUUUGGGGUGUAAACCGCUUUCGCCUAAGACGAAGCGUGAGUGACGGUAGUGUGUGAAGAAGCACCGGCUAACUACGUG
rnacentral:rRNA from 1 species